CAGUCGCGCGGUAAUACGAAGGGUGCAAGCGUUACUCGGAAUUACUGGGCGUAAAGCGUGCGUAGGUGGUGGUUUAAGUCCGUUGUGAAAGCCCUGGGCUCAACCUGGGAAUUGCAGUGGAUACUGGAUCACUAGAGUGUGGUAGAGGAUAGUGGAAUUUCCGGUGUAGCAGUGAAAUGCGUAGAGAUCGGAAGGAACAUCUGUGGCGAAGGCGACUAUCUGGGCCAACACUGACACUGAGGCACGAAAGCGUGGGGAGCAAACAGGAUUAGAUACCCCCGUAGUCCCUGUCUCUUAUACC
rnacentral:rRNA from 1 species